GAUGAACGCUAGCUACAGGCUUAACACAUGCAAGUCGAGGGGCAGCAUGGUCUUAGCUUGCUAAGGCCGAUGGCGACCGGCGCACGGGUGAGUAACACGUAUCCAACCUGCCGUCUACUCUUGGACAGCCUUCUGAAAGGAAGAUUAAUACAAGAUGGCAUCAUGAGUCCGCAUGUUCACAUGAUUAAAGGUAUUCCGGUAGACGAUGGGGAUGCGUUCCAUUAGAUAGUAGGCGGGGUAACGGCCCACCUAGUCUUCGAUGGAUAGGGGUUCUGAGAGGAAGGUCCCCCACAUUGGAACUGAGACACGGGCCAAACUCCUACGGGAGGCAGCAGUGAGGAAUAUUGGUCAAUGGGCGAGAGCCUGAACCAGCCAAGUAGCGUGAAGGAUGACUGCCCUAUGGGUUGUAAACUUCUUUUAUAAAGGAAUAAAGUCGGGUAUGGAUACCCGUUUGCAUGUACUUUAUGAAUAAGGAUCGGCUAACUCCGUG
rnacentral:rRNA from 1 species